rnacentral:rRNA from 1 species
GUGGGGAAUUUUGGACAAUGGGCGCAAGCCUGAUCCAGCAAUGCCGCGUGCAGGAAGAAGGCCUUCGGGUUGUAAACUGCUUUUGUACGGAACGAAACGGUCCUGGUUAAUACCUGGGGCUAAUGACGGUACCGUAAGAAUAAGCACCGGCUAACUACGUGCCAGCAGCCGCGGUAAUACGUAGGGUGCGAGCGUUAAUCGGAAUUACUGGGCGUAAAGCGUGCGCAGGCGGUGCUGUAAGACAGGCGUGAAAUCCCCGGGCUUAACCUGGGAAUUGCGCUUGUGACUGCAGUGCUGGAGUGCGGCAGAGGGGGAUGGAAUUCCGCGUGUAGCAGUGAAAUGCGUAGAUAUGCGGAGGAACACCGAUGGCGAAGGCAAUCCCCUGGGCCUGCACUGACGCUCAUGCACGAAAGCGUGGGGAGCAAACAGGAUUAGAAACCCGGGUAGUCC